UAUGCUUUUUACAGAAUUUUUUUUUUUUAAGGUCGAUGACGGAGAUUGCCAAAUCUAAUGGAAACUGUAGAAGUCGAGUACAUAAUUAAAAAGUGAAUAAUAUUCUGUCGGGAUCUCGAUACCGUUCGACCAUUCUCUUUCGUAAAGUAUCAAAAACCAUCAGAAUGAUGAAAGAAAUAUGGAGAUCCAUU